AGCUCUGGUGGCCAGUGGUUAGAGCGUUCGCUUCGGAUGCGGGAGGUCGUGGUUCGAAUCCCGGCCGAGUCA